rnacentral:rRNA from 1 species
UACGAAGGGGGCUAGCGUUGUUCGGAUUUACUGGGCGUAAAGCGCACGUAGGCGGAUCGUUAAGUCGGGGGUGAAAUCCUGGAGCUCAACUCCAGAACUGCCUUUGAUACUGGCGAUCUUGAGUCCGGAAGAGGUGAGUGGAACUCCUAGUGUAGAGGUGGAAUUCGUAGAUAUUAGGAAGAACACCAGUGGCGAAGGCGGCUCACUGGUCCGGUACUGACGCUGAGGUGCGAAAGCGUGGGGAGCGAACAGG